ensembl:lncRNA
CACACAUAAGAUAGCAUCUUUUGCGUGCUACACCAAUGCAACUUUAUAUACUCUAUUUUUAUAUGUGUCACACAAUACUUUUAGUAAAGCUGUAUAUUACAAUGAUUUACGAGUCCUUUAUGCCAAAUAGCGCAUUAGGAAAAGUAAAAGGACUCUGCACAGUGGUACAGUGGUUAGCCCUAUUGCCUCACAGCAAGAGGGUCAUGAAUUGAAAUCCACCAGCCAACUAGGGCCUUUCUGUGUGGAGUUUGCCUGUUCUCUCCACGCUUGUGUGGGUUCUUUCCCACUCCCCUUUGACUUAUGUGUCAGUGUGAGUCCGGAGAGAUGUCUGUGACAGACUGAAUACUUGUCCAGGGUGCACCCUGCUUCUCAUCCUAUGGCAGCUGGUACAGGAUCCAGUUGAAGUGACUUAAAUUUGGAGCCAGCAAAAUAAAAAAUAAAGUCUAGGCAAGAAUGUAACAUAUAACUGUGUUAUGAGGUAUCUAAUGAGAUGACGUGUUAGUGAACCUUAGAUACCAAAUGCAAAGUUUUUUUUGCUUAUUACUGGGUUUCACCUUCUCCGUUUCGGUCCUCCAUUGUUACAUUAUUUGCUCCAUAAAAUCAAUUUGUUUACAAUGAUUGACAGGACUGGAUGCUGCAGACAGACCAGUACUAAAAUAGAAUAUAUUGAGAAUGGCAGCAUGCUCGUAUACAUUGUUCAUCAUUAAUGAUGCAUGUGCACUAACGCACACCAAUUCUGAAUUUUGAACUCUGUGGUCACAACAAUCCAGUAGUUCCCUUUAUUUUUAAUGCUAAAGUUCAUGAUUUUAAAAUGCAUGGUAAGAUACAGUGGUAAGUGCUUCUGAGCCCAAGAAUUGACACUACAGCACAAAACUGCUUUAGCUUUAUUAUUGCAGUGUGGGUUAAAGUCAUUAAUAACAGCAUUAUUGCACUAUUACAAACAAAGAUUUCUCUGGAUUCUCUGAAUCUUUAACAUUUGAUGUUUUUGCACAAGUUUAACUUAAAAAUACAACAUAAAUAUUUAAAACAAUAAUGUUGUUAUUUACAUUUUACGCAGCAUCUCAUCUUCUUUGAAUGACGAUUGAAAAGAAUGAAAGCAUUAUGAUUGAAAUAAUACAAUGAUAUAAAAAUAACACUCUCCCUCGGUCUUCUUCCACCAUGACAGGACAGGAAAAUAAAAAGGUCGUGAGUGAGACUCAGGUGUGCUGAAAUCUUUAAUUGGAUUCCACACAAUCUCCUUUCUUGCUUCAGUGUAAUAAAACAAAUGGGUUUUUAGUUCUGCGACACUCUUAUGCCAUUUAUUCAAAAAGGAAACAGUGAUGUCGUGUUUAUGAGCAGAGUUUAGAACUGGAUCCAAAUGAAUGUGCAUAACUUAGUCUUCGCAAGUAUAUACAGUGAAUUUAAACUGGAACUGUAUAUGUACGUGUCUCUGUGUGUGUGUGUGUGUGUGUGUGUGUGUGUUCAUGUAUUGAGAGAGAAAGAUAUAGGGACAACUCUCAGAUGUGGGGUGAGGAAAAAGCUAUCUUGGAAACCAUGUUUUGAGCAUAGCAGUGACUUCAAGGUCAAUGUUUUAGCCCCAGGAUAAAAAACUAAUAGCAUAAUAAUGACAGAGAGGGAACUGCAAACAGGAGAUAAGGUGGACGAAAACAAAAUGCUGAUCGCUGAGAAGGCUGAUUGCAGAGCUACUGUGCUAGCAUUAGAAAGAGGAAGAGAGAAAACUGAGGAGGAGACAGAAAGAACAACGUUAGGGAUAUUAAAAAAAAUUAUGGGUGCUUGUCUGCUGUAUUUCUGUGACUCACAUUAAAAUGAUUGAAUGACUAUCUGACAAGGUAAUCGUUUAACAUCCAUGACUUACAAAGGACAAAAUUCAGCAUCUCUCACUUUGUCGCUUAUAUUCAGUCGUAUGGGACAUGAAUGACAUAAUGAAACACACUUUUUUGACUAUCCAAAUGAAUCAAGUGAAUCCACCUGCAGUGUUUCCAUAUACUAUUGCAUCCCUGUCCCACUAUCGGUCCACUCAGUUUUCAAGUUGGGAGAUUUGACAGGAGAUCGCUGAUCUAAAAAUGACAUAAGUCACAGUAAACUUGGAUGUAUAAAAAAAUUGCAUUUUUUAUAAAUACAAAGACCUGUGCGUAGCACACAGUGAAUGCCUUGUAAGGUUAUUAUUUAGUUAAACUGAGCCAUCACAUGUACAAUUAUAUACGACAGUUUGUAUAAAAUAUUUACAUAGAUGUUGCAUUAACAGUACCCUAGGCAAUGUUUUUGCAAAAUUUCGUCAAGAUUGAUGCACUUGUCUAGGAGGAAGAACUCUUCCUCUAGGAGGAACAUACAAACAGAAGCUACAGUCAUUAUAGUAUGAACAUGCAAACAUGCCUGAAACUAUAGAUACAUAAAAGGCAAAAACAGAGUUCCUACAAAGCUCUUUUUUGGAUCCUGACUGCUGUUUGUUUUAUUUUCUGUCAAGAUGAUCCCGUGCUGUAAUAAUGUAGCAAUCCAGGCUCUGGGGAGGCCAUUCCAUGACUGAUAGUGUUUUAUUUUGUGUUUUUCUAGCAGAAAAAAAAAAGUGGAUGAUGUUACCAGUUGGUUGCUUUCUCAAUGGUAUUGCAUGGUGGUUAAAAUCUGAUGCUGCUUGUCUGCAUUUAUAUUUCCAUUCAUUUUUACAUGAUUCCCAACCGCUCCAAUUCAUGGCAGAGACUCCACCAUGUUUCACAGAUGGCUGUAAACACUUACUGUUGUAUCUCUCUCCUGUACCUCCUUUACCUUCCACUUCUUCUUUUGUCCUCCACUUUUGUCCUCCACUUUUGUCCUCCAGGUUCUUCAAAUUUACUUGAACACCACACUGCGCAUCAUGCUUCUUACAAAGCCAGCCUGUCUAAUGAAAUGAGUAACUGGUCAACAUCCCAUCCAUCCAUCUGGGCACCCAUAGCUUUGCCGGUCUGACCUGGAGCCACAACACCGUCGCCCUAGUAAAGAAGGCCCAGCAGUGGAUGCACUUCCUCCAUGUCCUGAGAAGAAAUAACCUGGACCAGAAGCUACUGCUGGCCUUCUAUCACUCCUCAGUGGAGAGCGCACUCUGCCUGGGUGUUUGGUACGCAGGGGCCACAACUGUGAACGGGGAAGGCUGUGCAGAGGGUAAUUAACGCUGCCCAGAAAAAUAAUUGGCUGCCCUCUGCCACUCCUAGAGGCCAUCGCCUGAUCCUCUUGUCUCAGGAAAACCUGGGCCAUCACAAAUGACCACCUGUUUGACCUGCUGCCCUCUGGGUCAGUUAGGUCCCACACCUCCAGACUCACAAACAGCUUCCUUUCGUGGGCCCAUUUGGACUGUUAAUAAACACUAUCCCCCUACACCCCACUGAUGACCACCCACCUCACUAAUCUGAACUGAGUAUCAUGGACUGAGUAACGCUCAUCACUCAGGCCACUCACACACGGACUCUGUUCAGACCAAGUCCUUUCUUUGCAGUAAUUCCAACCACUUUGCAAUUUGUUCUCUAAUGUGUUCCUUUCUCUUAUUUUUGCACGUUUCACUUGUUUGCUCUUUAUUCCUGCUGUCUACUACUUAUAUUUUAUUCCAGCACAGUUGGUGUGGUGCACCCACAAUUUCGUUGUACAUGUACUAUGACAAUAAAGGUGAUUCUAUCCAUUUUAAUUACAGGAAUUGAAAUGGGAACUUUCUUUAAAA